rnacentral:rRNA from 1 species
GUGCCUAACACAUGCAAGUCGAACGAGGUCCAUCCUGUGGCAACACAGGUGAAGACCUAGUGGCGAACGGGUGAGUAACACGUGAGCAACCUGCCCCGAAGACUGGGAUAACACCGGGAAACCGGUGCUAAUACCGGAUACCCCCACGCAGUCGCAUGGCUGUGUGAGGAAAUGUCUUUUCGCUUCGGGAGGGGCUCGCGGCCUAUCAGCUUGUUGGUGGGGUAACGGCCCACCAAGGCUGCGACGGGUAGCUGGUCUGAGAGGACGAUCAGCCACACUGGGACUGAGACACGGCCCAG